AAAAGAAUAGUAUCAGAAACGAGAAUGUUCUUGGCUGAUAAAGAGUAAACUCUGUGUUUGUCUCAUUGCAGGACCAGUCUGAGAUGGUGGCCAGAAGUAUUUCUCCUUCAUCUUGAAAAGACUUUUGAAUGAUGAUGUGAGGAAGAAAAGCUGAUCUGAUAAGAAUGGCAGUGAGGAGAAGGUGUGAAUGUAUUUGGGAAAUGGGAAAACUUCAGUUUUAGGGGCAGACUUACAAAUGGCACUAGUUGCCAGGUCUUCCUUGACACCACAGAUGAUACCAAGUUACAGAUUACAGAUAGAGAGGACCUCAAAGGAAGGAAAAAACCCAGAGCUUUCGAGGAAAACAGUUGGUAUGUUCCUGUGAAACCAUGUUUCGCCUGUCUGAUGCUCAGAGAGACUGACUCUCCCUUCUGCAGGCUGGACCUUUUCUUCUGGCCACUCUGGGGCUGUCUGUUAUGUUUCCCUGCAACUAGAAAUACACUGCACCUUGCUGUGGAUUCUGCCGUGGAUCCCUGAGAGAGGAACAGCAGUCCAGAUGGGUAGAAAUUUGGACAAACCUAUUUUUGUAUCCCAUCUUUAUACAUUGUUGUUCAAAACAACUUAGUAACAGAUCACACUUCUGAUGGUUUCCCUCUAUUUCACUACUGUUUUGAAGGACCAUGUUCUCCUCCUGGGCAAGUGAAACAUCCCUUCCAAUCUCCUUUCCACAGUUCAUUUUAAACUUACCUCCUGACCAAACAGAAAAUACAAAAUGGGACUGAACGUGUUCUGUCUGCAAUAGCCUGUAAUUUCUUCUCUGAUCUGUAACACUUUAACUUAUUUCUCCUGAUGAUCUGGAAAGGCUGGUAAGAAUCCAGUAGAGUUUGGCUUUUUAUUCUGUUUAAAAUGUGUCUGCUUAGAAGCCAGUAUGAUACUUCAGAGUUUUUUAUGAGUCUGAAACAAUUUUAUAGCAUGCCAUUGUUGGUCAGGUAAAUCAUUCAAGCAGAUGCUAUUUUUGUACUUAAAUGAAGCACAUGCAUUUAUCUGCAGGAGGUCUGUAUGAACAGAAUAAACACAGUGCAGUGAGGAAGUCUGGUCUGUCAUAAAAAUAACAAUCAUCUUUUAGAAUCAAACAUUUCAGUGAACAUAAAGAAAUGCUAGCUUGAAGAACUGUCCUUGGCGUUUGUGCCAGGCUGUGACUCACUUCAUCAGUCUU
rnacentral:lncRNA from 1 species